rnacentral:rRNA from 1 species
CCAAAAAUCUAGCCAAAAUCAACUAAAACCUUCUUCUCUAAACUAAAAUAUUCUUAAAGGUAAGUAAAGACGAUUGAAAACUUAAUUUGAGCCACAGUCCUGUACCGCAAGGGAAAGAAUGAAAUAUAAUAAAAACAACUUAAGCACAAAAAAGUAGAGAUCUUCCCUCGUACCUUUUGCAUCAUGGUUUAACUAGUCUAACUUAGCAAAAAGACCUUAAAGCUAAACUUCCCGAAACUAAGUGAGCUAUUUAAAGACAGCUCCCUGAGCAAACUCAUCUCUGUUGCAAAAGAGUGAAAAGAUCCUUAAAUAGAGGCGAUAUACCUAACGAACUUAGCGAUAGCUGGUUACUCAAGAAAAGAAUUUUAGUUCCUCUGAAAGUCCCCCCUUAAUUUUUAAGAUAAACCAAGACUUUUAUGUUACCCAAGUAAGGUACAGCUUACUUGGGACAGGGUACAACCUCCACCACCGGGUAAGCCAUUCUACACAACGUAAAUUUGUAGGCCUAAAAGCAGCCAUCCACUACAGCGUCAAAGCUUAUUUACAUCCCAAACUAAUAACUUGAUUUUUCCCGAGCCCCUCCACAGUAUUGAGUAAUUCUAUGCCUACCCAUAGAAUCUUCUAUGUUAAAACUAGUAACAAGAAGCUAGCCUUCUCUAAAAUGCCCGCAUAACCCAGGCCUGAACUCAGCACUGGCUAUUAACAGCCUUCAACUAAAGAAGAAACUUUCCAAGCAAAAUCUUCUAAAUAAUCUGUUAACCUAACACAAGCGCAUUUCAAGAAAGAUUAAAAGAAAAUGAAGGAACUCGGCAAACUACCACCCCGCCUGUUUACCAAAAACAUCGCCUCUUGAAGUAUAUAAGAGGUCCAGCCUGCCCAGUGACUUGUUUAACGGCCGCGGUA